rnacentral:rRNA from 1 species
GGGUGACGAGUGGCGGACGGGUGAGUAAUGUCUGGGGAUCUGCCCGAUAGAGGGGGAUAACCACUGGAAACGGUGGCUAAUACCGCAUAACGUCGCAAGACCAAAGAGGGGGACCUUCGGGCCUCUCACUAUCGGAUGAACCCAGAUGGGAUUAGCUAGUAGGCGGGGUAACGGCCCACCUAGGCGACGAUCCCUAGCUGGUCUGAGAGGAUGACCAGCCACACUGGAACUGAGACACGGUCCAGACUCC